GAUGAAGAACGUAGCGAAAUGCGAUAAGUAGUGUGAAUUGCAGAAUUCAGUGAAUCAUCGAAUCUUUGAACGCACAUUGCGCCCCUUGGUAUUCCAUGGGGCAUGCCUGUUCGAGCGUCAUUUGUACCUUCAAGCUCUGCUUGGUGUUGGGUGUUUGUCUCGCCUCUGCGCGCAGACUCGCCUCAAAACGAUUGGCAGCCGGCGUAUUGAUUUCGGAGCGCAGUACAUCUCGCGCUUUGACAACAAAACGACGACGUCCAAAAAGUACAUUUUUUACACUCUUGACCUCGGAUCAGGUAGGGAUACCCGCUGAACUUAAGCAUAUCAAUAAGCGGAGGA
rnacentral:misc_RNA from 1 species